GGGUGACUAGUCUAGUGGUCAGGACGCUUCGUUGUGGUUCAAGAGUCAAAUCUUGAUAACAACGACCGAAGAAACCCCGGUUCGAUUCCGGGGUCGCCCA